rnacentral:rRNA from 1 species
CAGGAUGAACGCUAGCUACAGGCUUAACACAUGCAAGUCCUGGGGCAUCAGGAAGAAAGCUUGCUUUCUUUGCUGGCGACCGGCGCACAGGUGAGUAACACGUAUCCAACCUGCCCUUUACUCGGGGAUAGCCUUUCGAAAGAAAGAUUAAUACCCGAUAGCAUAAUGAUUCCGCAUGGUUUCAUUAUUAAAGGAUUCCGGUAAAGGAUGGGGAUGCGUUCCAUUAGGUUGUUGGUGAGGUAACGGCCCACCAAGCCUUCGAUGGAUAGGGGUUCUGAGAGGAAGGUCCCCCACAUUGGAACUGAGACACGGUCCAAACUCCUACGGGAGGCACCAGUGAGGAAUAUUGGUCAAUGGGCGCUAGCCUGAACCACCCAAGUAGCGUGAAGGAUGAAGGCUCUAUGGGUCGUAAACUUCUUUUAUAUAAGAAUAAAGUGCAGUAUGUAUACUGUUUUGUAUGUAUUAUAUGAAUAAGGAUCGGCUAACUCCGUGCCAGCAGCCGCGGUAAUACGGAGGAUCCGAGCGUUAUCCGGAUUUAUUGGGUUUAAAGGUAGCGUACGUGGACUGGUAAGUCAGUUGUGAAAGUUUGCGGCUCAACCGUAAAAUUGCAGUUGAUACUGUCAGUCUUGAGUACAGUAGAGGUGGGCGGAAUUCGUGGUGUAGCGGUGAAAUGCUUAGAUAUCACGAAGAACUCCGAUUGCGAAGGCAGCUCACUGGACUGCAACUGACACUGAUGCUCGAAAGUGUGGGUAUCAAACAGGAUUAGAUACCCUGGUAGUCCACACAGUAAACGAUGAAUACUCGCUGUUUGCGAUAUACAGUAAGCGGCCAAGCGAAAGCAUUAAGUAUUCCACCUGGGGAGUACGCCGGCAACGGUGAAACUCAAAGGAAUUGACGGGGGCCCGCACAAGCGGAGGAACAUGUGGUUUAAUUCGAUGAUACGCGAGGAACCUUACCCGGGCUUAAAUUGCAGUGGAAUGAUGUGGAAACAUGUCAGUGAGCAAUCACCGCUGUGAAGGUGCUGCAUGGUUGUCGUCAGCUCGUGCCGUGAGGUGUCGGUUUAAGUGCCAUAACGAGCGCAACCCUUAUCUUUAGUUACUAACAGGUUAUGCUGAGGACUCUAGAGAGACUGCCGUCGUAAGAUGUGAGGAAGGUGGGGAUGACGUCAAAUCAGCACGGCCCUUACGUCCGGGGCUACACACGUGUUACAAUGGGGGGUACAGAAGGCAGCUAGCGGGUGACUGUAUGCUAAUCCCAAAAUCCUCUCUCAGUUCGGAUCGAAGUCUGCAACCCGACUUCGUGAAGCUGGAUUCGCUAGUAAUCGCGCAUCAGCCACGGCGCGGUGAAUACGUUCCCGGGCCUUGUACACACCGCCCGUCAAGCCAUGGGAGCCGGGGGUACCUGAAGUACGUAACCGCAAGGAUCGUCCUAGGGUA